GGGAAUUUAAGGUGAAUUUUAAACGGUAUGCCAAAGUCACCGAAGGAUUCUCCAAGUCAGCAUUUUUUUCUUUCUGGCUAUUUUAACCUAACCUUUGAAUUUCUUUGUAAAUUCACUUUGAAUUCCUGACAAUUCACAAUGUGCAAAGUGCAAAAUUCUAAGUCAGCUAUCCCUCCAGAUUGUCUUAAAUUUGAAAUCCACU